CGAAGGGUGCAAGCGUUACUCGGAAUUACUGGGCGUAAAGCGUGCGUAGGUGGUUUGUUGAGUCUGUCGUGAAAUCCCCGGGCUCAACCUGGGAAUGGCGAUGGAUACUGGCAAGCUAGAGUGAGGUAGAGGAGAGUGGAAUUCCCGGUGUAGCAGUGAAAUGCGUAGAGAUCGGGAGGAACAUCAGUUGCGAAGGCGGCUCUCUGGACCAUCACUGACACUGAGGCACGAAAGCGUGGGGAGCAAACAGGAUUAGAUACCCUGGUAGUCCACGCCCUAAACGAUGCGAACUGGACGUUGGGCUCAAUUAGGAGCUCAGUGUCGAAGCUAACGCGUUAAGUUCGCCGCCUGGGGAGUACGGUCGCAAGACUG
rnacentral:rRNA from 1 species